UACGGAGGGUGCGAGCGUUGUCCGGAAUCAUUGGGCGUAAAGGGCGCGUAGGUGGCCCGGUCAGUCUUUGGUGAAAGCGCGGGGCUCAACCCUGCGUCGGCCAGGGAUACUGCCGCGGCUCGAGCACUGUAGAGGCAGGCGGAAUUCCGGGUGGUAGCGGUGGAAUGCGUAGAGAUCCGGAAGAACACCGGUGGCGAAGGCGGCCUGCUGGGACAUGGCUGACGCUGAGGCGCGACAGCGUGGGGAGCAAACAGG
rnacentral:rRNA from 1 species